rnacentral:lncRNA from 1 species
GCGUGGCUACAUUACGACUCUUGUGUCCCUUCCUCCACUGUCAGAGAAGUUUCAACUGGGGAGUGACGUGAUCAGACCUGUGCUGGUGACUGAAUAGCCAGGGAGAGGGUUCUGAGAACUCCUUCAUUAACUGGUUACGGCCUGGCCGCAGCACCUGCCAGAUCGCAUGGCUGCCUCUUCCCACAAGGUGGUAAAUGUAUGAAUGAGUCAAAUCCUACAGCUUCCAGAAUGACCUUGCGGGAAGUGUGGUGCAAGACAAGGAACAUUGUGCUCAUUCCAGGAGAGGGAAGCCCUUCACAUCAGACCUGGAGGAGGGAAGAGAAAGGCACUGAACUGACCAAGUCCCUUCUGUAUGCUGGACACGAGACACCUCUCUGCGGUGCCAAGAGGAAGGGUCCACCUUCCCAUGUCACAGGUCCCCAAGGUCACGGGGCUUCUUUGUCCUGUAGAUGAAGAACCAGAUAUUCCAUUCAUGUUAAAGUAUAACAGCUUUGAGAUAACAGAUUCAAGUGUGACUCCAAGUAGGCUGUGUAGUUGGAACAGCAAGCAAAUCGCUGAUCGUGAAAUUUCAGUUUUGCCUUCAAUCUAUUCUUGCUGCUGUGCGGAAAUAUCCAACUGCCUCCAAGCGCUUAGUUGAGAAAAAAUAAUCACCUCCUCCAAAGAGUGUCUGUGGAUUCUGCCACUUGGUUUCUGGGCCCCUGUAAGGCAGGUAGGGAUUGGCAGAGAGAACAAGUGUCUGUCUCCCGACAGGUGGAUGGCAUUUUAUGGGGUAUAGUAAGAGGAUUCUGUCAGGCAGCCAUGAUGGGACCUACAUUGUCUGGGUGUUUAUAUUUUGUGAGUAUGGGAAAUAGCAGAGUCCCUGGGCAGAGAGGAUGGCCACCAGGCAGGAGAAUUUGACAUCCUUCACAUGUGGGACAUGUACUGAGCAGCUGGGAGCAUCUUGGAACAUUAGGAUGAGUUGGUCACCCAACCCCAACCACAUACUGUCUGAUUCAGUAGGGCUAAGAAGGGGCUUGAGAAUUUGCAUUUCAGACAAUUCCUAGAAGAUGCUGAUGUGGCUAGGACUACACCGAGAGGACAAUAACCAACAUACUGCUCACUAUUAUUGUGAAUACUGAAUCACACGGCACUCUUAUUAGUAGUAUCCAUGACUUUGCCACCAAGAAAAAUUAUGUGUUUUUUCCUACUACAUUACACUUGUUUCUGGACUCGAAAUAUCAUUUACACUCAUUACAUGGAAAUUAUAGGUGUUACAGACAGCUGCUUCAUCUCAUUAUUUAAUGUGCUAAUAAAGACGCACAUAUAUAU